AACGAACGCUGGCGGCGCGCCUAAUACAUGCAAGUCGAGCGAGAAGACGUAGCAAUACGUUUGUAAAGCGGCGAACGGGUGAGGAAUACAUGGGUAACCUACCCUCGAGUGGGGAAUAACUAGCCGAAAGGUUAGCUAAUACCGCGUACGCUCCUUGGACUUCGGUUCAGGGAGGAAAGCGAUACCGUGGGUAUCGCGCUCUUGGAUGGGCUCAUGUCCUAUCAGCUUGUUGGUGAGGUAACGGCUCACCAAGGCUUCGACGGGUAGCUGGUCUGAGAGGACGAUCAGCCACACUGGCACUGCGACACGGGCCAGACUCCUACGGGAGGCAGCAGUAAGGAAUAUUGCGCAAUGGGCGAAAGCCUGACGCAGCGACGCCGCGUGGGGGAG
rnacentral:rRNA from 1 species